rnacentral:rRNA from 1 species
GGUACUGGGAUGAACUAGCAUGCGAGUCAUUGUAGUAAUACAAGGCAGACGGCUCAGUAACGCGUAGUCAACCUACCCUAAGGACGGGGAUAACCUCGGGAAACUGAGAAUAAUACCCGAUAGAACAUAGCUCCUGGAAUGGUUUAUGUUUCAAAUAAUUUAUUGCCCUAGGAUGGGACUGCGGCCUAUCAGUUUGUUGGUGAGGUAAUGGCCCACCAAGACUAUUACAGGUACGGGCUCUGAGAGGAGUGGCCCGGAGAUGGGUACUGAGACACGGACCCAGGCCCUAUGGGGCGCAGCAGGCGAGAAAACUUUGUAAUGUGCGAAAGCACGACAAGGUUAAUCCGAGUGGUUUCUGCUAAAGAAACCUUUUGUUAGUCCUAGAAACACUGAUGAAUAAGGGGUGGGCAAGUUCUGGUGUCAGCCGCCGCGGUAAAACCAGCACCUCAAGUGGUCAGGAUGAUUAUUGGGCCUAAAGCAUCCGUAGCCGGCUAUGUAAGUUUUCGGUUAAAUCUGUGCGCUUAACGUACAGGCUGCCGGGAAUACUGCAUAGCUAGGAAGUGGGAGAGGUAGACGGUACUCGGUAGGAAGGGGUAAAAUCCUUUGAUCUAUUGAUGACCACCUGUGGCGAAGGCGGUCUACCAGAACACGUUCGACGGUGAGGGAUGAAAGCUGGGGGAGCAAACCGGAUUAGAUACCCGGGUAGUCCCAGCUGUAAACUAUGCAAACUCAAUGAUGCAUUGGCUUGUGGCCAAUGCAGUGUUGCAGGGAAGCCGUUAAGUUUGCCGCCUGGGAAGUACGUACGCAAGUAUGAAACUUAAAGGAAUUGGCGGGGGAGCACCACAAGGGGUGAAGCCUGCGGUUCAAUUGGAGUCAACGCCGGG